rnacentral:snoRNA from 1 species
UGACCUGAUGAAGCAAAUUUUACAGACCUGUUCCGAGCACAAUCGUGCGGACAACCACUUAUUGCCUUUUUUCUGAUA